CCUGUAUGAAUGGCAUCACGAGGAUUUAACUGUCUCCCCUCACCAAUCAGUGAAACUAAUCUCCCUGUGAAAAAGCAGGGUUACUUAUACAAGACGAGAAGACCCUAUGGAGCUUUAAACUAAUAACAUUUGUACUACUUCCCCAUAACCACUCAACAUAAUACUUAUACGUUUUCGGUUGGGGUGACCCUGGAGAAAAACCUAACCUCCAUGCUGUUAAAUAUAAGAACCUCAAUUCUACAAUCAACAUAUUGACACAAUUGACCCAAACAUUUGAUCAACGAACCAAGUUACCCUAGGGAUAACAGCGCCAUCCGCUUUAAGAGUACAUAUCAACAAGUGGGCUUACGACCUCGAUGUUGGAUCAGGAUUUCCUAGUGGUGCAGCCGCUACUAAAGGUUUGUUUGUUCAACAAUUAAAAUCC
rnacentral:rRNA from 1 species